UACAGAGGUGCCGAGCGUUAGGCGGAAUCACUGGGCUUAAAGCGUGCGUAGGCGGGCGUCUAAGUGUCUUGUGAAAUCCCACGGCUCAACCGUGGAACUGUUGGGCAUACUGGACGCCUUGAGGCACACAGGGGCGAGCGGAAUAUGUCAUGUAGCGGUGAAAUGCUUAGAGAUGACAUAGAACACCCAUUGCGAAGGCAGCUUACUACGGAUUGAUUGACACUGAGGCACGAAAGCGUGGGGAUCAAACAGG
rnacentral:rRNA from 1 species